rnacentral:rRNA from 1 species
CGGGACACGUGGUAUCCUGUCUGAAUAUGGGGGGACCAUCCUCCAAGGCUAAAUACUCCUGACUGACCGAUAGUGAACCAGUACCGUGAGGGAAAGGCGAAAAGAACCCCGGCGAGGGGAGUGAAAAAGAACCUGAAACCGUGUACGUACAAGCAGUGGGAGCACGCUUAGGCGUGUGACUGCGUACCUUUUGUAUAAUGGGUCAGCGACUUAUAUUCUGUAGCAAGGUUAACCGAAUAGGGGAGCCGAAGGGAAACCGAGUCUUAACUGGGCGUUAAGUUGCAGGGUAUAGACCCGAAACCCGGUGAUCUAGCCAUGGGCAGGUUGAAGGUUGGGUAACACUAACUGGAGGACCGAACCGACUAAUGUUGAAAAAUUAGCGGAUGACUUGUGGCUGGGGGUGAAAGGCCAAUCAAACCGGGAGAUAGCUGGUUCUCCCCGAAAGCUAUUUAGGUAGCGCCUCGUGAAUUCAUCUCCGGGGGUAGAGCACUGUUUCGGCAAGGGGGUCAUCCCGACUUACCAACCCGAUGCAAACUGCGAAUACCGGAGAAUGUUAUCACGGGAGACACACGGCGGGUGCUAACGUCCGUCGUGAAGAGGGAAACAACCCAGACCGCCAGCUAAGGUCCCAAAGUCAUGGUUAAGUGGGAAACGAUGUGGGAAGGCCCAGACAGCCAGGAUGUUGGCUUAGAAGCAGCCAUCAUUUAAAGAAAGCGUAAUAGCUCACUGGUCGAGUCGGCCUGCGCGGAAGAUGUAACGGGGCUAAACCAUGCACCGAAGCUGCGGCAGCGACGCUGAUGCGUUGUUGGGUAGGGGAGCGUUCUGUAAGCCUGUGAAGGUGUGCUGUGAGGCAUGCUGGAGGUAUCAGAAGUGCGAAUGCUGACAUAAGUAACGAUAAAGCGGGUGAAAAGCCCGCUCGCCGGAAGACCAAGGGUUCCUGUCCAACGUUAAUCGGGGCAGGGUGAGUCGACCCCUAAGGCGAGGCCGAAAGGCGUAGUCGAUGGGAAACAGGUUAAUAUUCCUGUACUUGGUGUUACUGCGAAGGGGGGACGGAGAAGGCUAUGUUGGCCGGGCGACGGUUGUCCCGGUUUAAGCGUGUAGGCUGGUUUUCCAGGCAAAUCCGGAAAAUCAAGGCUGAGGCGUGAUGACGAGGCACUACGGUGCUGAAGCAACAAAUGCCCUGCUUCCAGGAAAAGCCUCUAAGCAUCAGGUAACAUCAAAUCGUACCCCAAACCGACACAGGUGGUCAGGUAGAGAAUACCAAGGCGCUUGAGAGAACUCGGGUGAAGGAACUAGGCAAAAUGGUGCCGUAACUUCGGGAGAAGGCACGCUGAUAUGUAGGUGAAGCGACUUGCUCGUGGAGCUGAAAUCAGUCGAAGAUACCAGCUGGCUGCAACUGUUUAUUAAAAACACAGCACUGUGCAAACACGAAAGUGGACGUAUACGGUGUGACGCCUGCCCGGUGCCGGAAGGUUAAUUGAUGGGGUCAGCGCAAGCGAAGCUCUUGAUCGAAGCCCCGGUAAACGGCGGCCGUAACUAUAACGGUCCUAAGGUAGCGAAAUUCCUUGUCGGGUAAGUUCCGACCUGCACGAAUGGCGUAAUGAUGGCCAGGCUGUCUCCACCCGAGACUCAGUGAAAUUGAACUCGCUGUGAAGAUGCAGUGUACCCGCGGCAAGACGGAAAGACCCCGUGAACCUUUACUAUAGCUUGACACUGAACAUUGAGCCUUGAUGUGUAGGAUAGGUGGGAGGCUUUGAAGUGUGGACGCCAGUCUGCAUGGAGCCGGCCUUGAAAUACCACCCUUUAAUGUUUGAUGUUCUAACGUUGACCCGUGAUCCGGGUUGCGGACAGUGUCUGGUGGGUAGUUUGACUGGGGCGGUCUCCUCCUAAAGAGUAACGGAGGAGCACGAAGGUUGGCUAAUCCUGGUCGGACAUCAGGAGGUUAGUGCAAUGGCAUAAGCCAGCUUGACUGCGAGCGUGACGGCGCGAGCAGGUGCGAAAGCAGGUCAUAGUGAUCCGGUGGUUCUGAAUGGAAGGGCCAUCGCUCAACGGAUAAAAGGUACUCCGGGGAUAACAGGCUGAUACCGCCCAAGAGUUCAUAUCGACGGCGGUGUUUGGCACCUCGAUGUCGGCUCAUCACAUCCUGGGGCUGAAGUAGGUCCCAAGGGUAUGGCUGUUCGCCAUUUAAAGUGGUACGCGAGCUGGGUUUAGAACGUCGUGAGACAGUUCGGUCCCUAUCUGCCGUGGGCGC